UCAAAAUUUCAGUGACACUUUUUAGAAGUAAAAGGCCACAUCCCGUACUUGGUUAAAAUUCAUGAUGUGUUCAAUCUACAUCAUUGCUUAAAAAGGAGAACAUAUGCAAACUGUUCAUUCAUAUUAUAAGACUGAUAAACACAAAGCUAAGUUUUACAACUCUGUUUUUAAUAGAUCACUGAUCGCUGGGGCAGACCUAAAAAUCAAAGUUAGCAUUUUGUUGAGGGCAAAAGUGUUCUACUUCUUCAAAAUGGACAGGUUACUUUUUCCCAGCAGUGAUCUCAAAGAGUUAAAGACUGCAUUAUGUGAUCGCUCUAAAAGUUUCACAAGUUCCCCGUACACGGCAAUGAAAGCAUAGCAACCAUAAUGGAUUCCUUUCCUUUCAACAUCCUGUGGGGAAGGGAAUAUGAAGAGGUUGGUGAAACAGAGUUUUCUGUGCGUGAUUUAUUAAGUGUUGCAUGCUUUUGUUACAAACUGUACAUGUUAAAACACACAGACUUAUUAGCCAUGAAUGUGUGCACACUCACUGUGUUGGUGCUUGUUAUUUUGAUAUGAAAUGCAUAAUGUAGUGGUAUUGCAGAACGGUAAUGAAUCUGUGACUUGUGCGAGUGUGGCAUUAAGAUGCAAAAUGUAUCUAUAAAGAGCACUGAACUUUCAUGGGUUAGCAAAUCAGAGUGUUCUUGCUAGUUAAGCACCAACAUUAGUGACAGAGACUAUAUACUUCUCGGAAGAAAUGCAUGUGUUGUAUCAGGGAAAUAAGAACUGUUCAGCACAGCACUUUCUCUGGAAAAUAUUUGGAUCCAUGUAAACAGGACAUGUGUUCUACACAGAUAAUGAAUCUGAGCACUCCCUGAAUGCGGCCUCAGAAAGAUAGAAAUGAACCAGCGUCGUUCCAGGAGAAAGCCAAGUGUCUUCUGUGGGCCAUCACUAGCAGCAUUGAUCGGGCAAAGGCACGUGACGCCAAGGGGAAUCAUGCAAGGCCCAGGAAAAUCAGUAUAGUGCAUGCAUCUUGCUCGACAUCCUGCACUUCAACAAUGGGUAUCCAUGCAAAAUCCAUGUUGGCUCCAGGAAUCCCUCUCACAGCCACUGACCAGCCUCAGCUCCUUGCAGACUGCUUCCCACCAGAAGAGGACACAUGAAGAGACCUGGAAAUAAAGAACUCUAAUGAGGGGAGAAGCUAUUAGACCCAGGUCAGAGAAAAGAUCAGUGCUGAUUUGAAGAACUUUACAUAAACUAAGGACCAGGGAGUGAUGUCAACCUGCGUUACCGUUUCUGCUUAACAGAGAUGAUGGGAGAAGAUGGCAUGAAAAGGGAUGAAAGAAAAACAGAUUCUGAAUACAUAUCCUGAAGCACUUUUUCAAGCAAGUGAUCAAGGAAAGUUUUUGGGGCCAAGCUCUGUAGCCCUGUAAGAAACAGUAACCAUCAUAGAACAGUGGGGCUCUGAGGCUAUUCUCCUUCUUGCUUUUUUGUUUUCCUUGACUGUUUAACCCUCCCUCACUGUGAGUGCACUGAAAUCAUGGAAGAAACAUGUUAACACAGUUUUGCCUGAGAAGGAAAUGAAGUGGAUUUAGACCAAAAAUUGUUCUAAAGCACGGGGAAUACAGCGUGGCAUUCCAAUAAACUCAAAGCACAUGAUCUUUAUUUUUUUCAGAUUACAAACAAAUACCAAAACAAACUAGAUCGAGAAAAGUUUCUCCUUGGAAUCAGGAGCCUAAAACCAUGGAUUUCACAGGUAUACAAGACUGACUUUGGUGAGAAGCAGAGUGCUAAAUAUAAGAUUUGACUGCACAGGCAUGCUUGGAGAAACAAAAAACUUGGCAUGAAUAAAAUCAGUUACCAGCUCUAGGGAAUUCUUAACCUUUAACAUUAGCGCUCCUUCAUACUGCAAGAAAGUACCAUCCUCUUUUCUUAUAUCAUCUCUCUAGCAUUAAAGUGUUUUUUUUUUUUUACUUUAUUAUUGCUUUAUUUCCAGGAAUCCCCACAAGGAACUUUCC